rnacentral:sRNA from 1 species
AGCAUUCAAAACAGCAUCGGCCAUAACAACAGAAAUGGCCAGUCAGUCCCAGGGUAUCCAGCAGCUUCUGCAAGCUGAGAAGCGGGCAGCUGAGAAGGUGGCAGAUGCCAGAAAGAGGAAGGCCCGGCGACUGAAGCAGGCAAAGGAGGAGGCACAGAUGGAGGUGGAGCAAUACCGCAGAGAGCGAGAGAAGGAAUUCCAGAGCAAGCAGCAGGCGAGACCUUCUGAUCUCCAAAAAGAGGAGAUGACUACAUUUAGCUCUUCUCUUAUAAUUCCAGCUAGGGCCCGCCGUUUCCUAGUGCGUGCCCAGCCGUCCUCAGGUCACCUUCACUGCCGGGCCAAGGACCCCGUGGGAACUCACAGCCCUCGCCACACUCGUUCCUCGCGCAUCCAUGGAGGGGUGCCUAGAGAGAAGACCUGCGUGGCAAAAACCUAAACGAAGAGAUGAGGGGCAUGGAGAGGAGUAGGACAAGAGAAUAAAGAUAACAGUGGGGGGAGACGUUAGUUUCCUUUAUACCUUUUG